rnacentral:rRNA from 1 species
AUGUCGACGGCGGCUGCAUCCCGGCCCAGCGGCCCCAUCCUUUUGAGUCCCUUUCCCAACUACCAAUCCGCCUCGCUCUCCCGUGUCAAGCUCUCCGUCGCCGGCUCGCCGGUCAAGUCCUUCAGCGUCUCGUCUCCCCCCUCCUCCCCCACCGCCGCCGCCAAGAUCCGUCGGUCCUGCCUGUGCUCGCCGACGAACCACCCCGGCUCGUUCCGGUGCAGCCUUCACAAGGAGCGCAAGCAGGAGGCCCCCGCGGUCAACCACCCUGUCUCUCCGCCUUCGAAUUCGAAGCGCACGGCGAGCCCGUUCGCGCAGCUCGUCCCUAGCGGCAGUGGCAGUGGCUGCUCUAAACGCUCGUACAACGGGCUGGCGCAGCGCGUCCCCAUGGGGAGCGGGCACUGGGCACGCAAGGCGCUCGUGCCGUCCCAGGCGGUGCAGCAGCUGCAGCACCGGAAGCGAGUGGUGGAGCGGUUCCACGCCGGGCCCAGCCGGCUCUCCGCCGCCUCCAUGGCCGGCCGCAGCAACCAGUAA